rnacentral:rRNA from 1 species
AUGGGGGCGGCGGCGAGCGGCGCACUAGCGGUGGGGGUCAAGGCCGAGGCAGGAGAGCCAGAGCGCCGUCGGUUCGUGGCGGUGGUGGAGCAGGGAAACGAGGAUCCCGACGAUGGUGGGGUGCAGGGAGGAAGCGCCGCGACGGCUGGGGAAGAAGCGCGGGGCGGCGGGGGAGGAAACGCUGCGCCGGUGAAGGAGGAAGCACGGGGUUGCGGCGGGUUGUGGGUGCAGGAGGCCGGCGGCGGGGCUCGGGAGGAGUCCGGCUCGAAUCGAUGGAGGUUAGAGACGGGUGCGAACAGGGGAAGGUCGUGUGUGGUUUAUUAG